GCUGCCCAGGCACGCCCGCAUGUCUGACUACCAUGACUACUAAACCCACAUCUUGCCCAGGGAGCUGAGGAGCCCGAGUUAGAGGUGUGUGCAUGUGCGAAGCCGGGCUUACCUGUAACUGAACACAUACAAGAAGACAGCGGUCAGCAGGGUCCCCAACAUGAGGAAGCUUGUGAUUGGCUCCACUAAUCUGACAUGACGUGAGCCAAAAAACAGAUUCUGACAAACCUGCCCAAGAUGAAAAGGCCCAAGUGGAGAAACAGAAUCCAGCAUAAGACAUCUGGUGGAGCAGGAAGUUAUG